AUAACAGCUAUUCGGGGAAGGUAAGAACCUUCAACCAGGUUCGCACCGAGCGCAGUGAGACAACGACGCAAAGCGGCGGCCCGCAGGGUGAGCGAAUAAUCCUUCCCCAUCACUAA
rnacentral:sRNA from 1 species